GCCACUGCUAUUGGGGUUCGGCUAAGCCAUGCGAGUGGAGGGCGUCCCGCAAGGGAUGGCCCCGCAGACGGCUCAGUAACACGUCGUCAACCCACCUUAGGGUGGGGGACAACCUCGGGAAACUGAGGAUAAUCCCCCCAUAGGCGGGGAAGGCUAGAAUGCGCCCCCGCUGAAAGCUCAGGCGCCCUAGGACGGGACGGCGGCCUAUCAGGUAGUUGGUGGUGUGACG
rnacentral:rRNA from 1 species